GACGAAUGCUGGCGGCGUGCUUAACACAUGCAAGUCGAACGGAAAGGCCCUGCUUGCAGGGUACUCGAGUGGCGAACGGGUGAGUAACACGUGGGUGAUCUGCCCUUCACUUCGGGAUAAGCCUGGGAAACUGGGUCUAAUACCGGCUAGGAGCCAUUUUUAGUGCGAUGGUUGGAAAGUUUUUUCGGUGUAGGAUGAGCUCGCGGCCUAUCAGCUUGUUGGUGGGGUAAUGGCCUACCAAGGCGGCGAAGGGUAGCCGGCCUGAGAGGGUGGACGGCCACAUGGGGACUGAGAUACGGCCCAGACGCCAACGGGAGGCAGCAGUGGGGAGUAUGGCACAAUGGGCGCAAGCCUGAUGCAGAGACGCCGCGUGGGGGAUGACGGCCUUCGGGUUGUAAACUCCUUUCGCUAGGGAUGAAGCUUUUGUGACGGUACCUAGAGAAGAAGCACCGGCUAACUACGUG
rnacentral:rRNA from 1 species